CGCGUAGGCGGCGCGGGUAGUCGUCGGUGAAAGCUCAGGGCUCAACUCUGAGCCGGCCGGUGAUACUCCCGUGCUCGAGUGUGGUAGAGGCCAAUGGAAUUCCGGGUGUAGCGGUGGAAUGCGUAGAGAUCCGGAAGAACACCGGUGGCGAAGGCGGUUGGCUGGGCCACAACUGACGCUGAUGCGCGACAGCGUGGGGAGCAAACA
rnacentral:rRNA from 1 species